rnacentral:lncRNA from 1 species
UCCAUCAGAACCAAGGACUAAACUUGUCCCUUUUACAGGAGGCAUUAUACAUCAAAAUUUAUUAAGACCAUUUGCUGCCAAGGUCCACAGUACUCACUGGAUAAUGACAAAGCACAUGCUUGUGAGGCUGAGCAGAAUACUGUUAAAGCUAAACCAACACGACUGCGCUCACUGGACACUUUCCGAGGGUUUGCCCUGACAGUGAUGGUGUUUGUGAACUAUGGUGGAGGAGGUUACUGGUUUUUUCAACAUGCACCAUGGAAUGGUUUGUGUUUAUCAUUGGGACUUCAGUGGUCCUGGCUUUCAGGUCGAUGCAGAGGAGAGGAUUUAGCCACCUGCAGCUGCUACGUAAAAUCACCUGGAGAACAGCCGUCCUCAUGAUGCUCGGCUUCUGCUUCCUCAACUACUCUCCAAGAGAUGGACCCCGUAGGUGCCCAAUGUGGAGCACAUACUGGUG